rnacentral:rRNA from 1 species
AUGCGAGUCGAGAGGGUUUAGACCCUCGGCGAACUGCUCAGUAACACGUGGGUAAUCUACCCUCAGGACAGGGAUAACCCCGGGAAACUGGGGAUAAUACCUGAUAGGUGAAGAUGUCUGGAACGAUUCUUCGCCCAAAGCUCCGGCGCCUGAGGAUGAGCCUGCGGCUGAUUAGGUUGUUGGCGGUGUAACGGACCACCAAGCCUGAGAUCAGUACGGGCACUGAGAGGUGUAGCCCGGAGAUGGGGUCUAAGACACGGCCCCAGGCCCUACGGGGCGCAGCAGGCGCGAAAACUCCGCAAUACGCGAAAGCGUGACGGGGGAACCCCAAGUGCGUCAUCGCAAGAUGAUGCUUUUUUAGAGUGUAAACAGCUUUAAGAAUAAAAGCGGGGUAAGACCGGUGCCAGCCGCCGCGGUAACACCGGCCGCUUGAGUGGUGACCGCUAUUAUUGGGCCUAAAGCGUCCGUAGCCGGUUUGGUAAGUCCUUGGGCAAAUCCUGUCGCUUAACGGCAGGAAUUCUAGGGAUACUGCUAGACUUGAGGUCGAGAGAGGUCGGAGGUACUCCUGGGGUAGCGGUGAAAUGCUAUAAUCCUGGGGGGACCACCAGUGGCGAAAGCGUCCGACCAGAGCGAGCCUGACGGUAAGGGACGAAAGCCAGGGUAGCGAACGGGAUUAGAUACCCCGGUAGUCCUGGCCGUAAACGCUGUGGGCUAGGUGUUGCAUGCUCUACGAGGGCAUGCAGUGCCGAAGAGAAGUUGAUAAGCCUACCGCCUG